CCGAUCCGUUAUCCCCGGCCCCGUCAAAGCCCAACCCAGACUUUUGACCGCUUCGAACCGGGUUCGGGACGGAAAUGCUGCUGCCUUUUUCACCGCAAUUGUCUCUGGAAAGUUCUUCGCGAAGUCGACGAUUUCCGAUAUAAAUACAUCGAUCGCAAAGAAAUGCGGCCGUUUCCACGCCUCCGCUCAACCCCUGUUGGAAGCCGAUCUCGAAGACGAAGAUAGCUUGGAAUGCGAUCAUUCUACACGGUUGCUUCUGAUUGGCCUACAAAUUUUCUCUUAGGGUUACAUUGGCUGAUCUUUCUGAUUUGCCUGCAAAUAACUGAAAUCAGAAUGCACUCUUGAUUCCUAUUUGCAUGUAAGACCAGAUCUUGGGAUACGACAAUCAGAUUGGAAUGUGAUUUUAAUACUCGGUUGCU